rnacentral:rRNA from 1 species
ACUCAAAUGAAUUGACGGGGGCCCGCACAAGCAGCGGAGCGUGUGGUUUAAUUCGAUGCAACGCGAAGAACCUUACCUAGGCUUGACAUGACGGAAGUAGAACCCCGAAAGGGGAACGACUCGUAAAGUCGAGAACCGCCACAGAUGCUGCAUGGCUGUCGUCAGCUCGUGCCGUGAGGUGUUGGGUUAAGUCCCGCAACGAGCGCAACCCUCGGCGUUAGUUACCAUGUCUAACGCGACUGCCGGUUUCAAACCGGAGGAAGGUGGGGAUGACGUCAAGUCAGCACGGCUCUUACGUCUAGGGCUACACACACGCUACAAUGGCCGGUACAACGGGACGCGAAAGGGCGACCUGGAGCAAAUCCUAUCAAAGCCGGUCUCAGUUGGGAUUGCAGGCUGAAACUCGCCUGCAUGAACGCGGAGUUGCUAGUAACCGCAGGUCAGCACACUGCGGUGAAUACGUUCCCGGGCCUUGUACACACCGCCCGU